CGCAUCUGUGCAUGCAGCAUAUCAAUAAGCGGAGGAAAAGAAACUAACAAGGAUUCCCCUAGUAACGGCGAGUGAUGCGGGAAGAGCUCAAAUUUGAAAUCUUAAAGGGUUUCCCUUUACGAAUUGUAGUUUAAAGAAGUGUUUUCUGUUGAGGUUUUGGUAAAAGUUCUUUGGAAUAGGACAUCAUAGAGGGUGAGAAUCCCGUAUUUGACCUUUACUUUCAACUUUGUGAUACACUUUCAAAGAGUCGGAUUGUUUGGGAAUGCAGUCCAAAAUGGGUGGUAAAUUUCAUCUAGAGCUAAAUAUUGGCGAGAGACCGAUAGCGAACAAGUACCGUGAGGGAAAGAUGAAAAGAACUUUGAAAAGAGAGUUAAACAGUACGUGAAAUUGUCAGAAGGGAAGCGUUUGACACCAGUGUUGUCUUUCUGAAAAUCAAUUAAAGAACUGUUUAUGCUAAGCUGUUUAGACUUUAUCAGCUAACUGUUUAGUUUUGAGCUUUUCUUUAAUGCACUUUUCAGUUAACAAGUCAACAUCAAUUUCCUUUUGCUGUAAAAAAGCUUGAGGAAGGUGGCUUGAGAUUCGUCUUAAGUGUUUAUAGCCUCUUGCCUAUGCAGUCGGAGAGAUUGAGGUCUGCAGCGUAGAUCCUUCGGGGCUAAAUGCAUUUGUGCUAAGUUAUAGCAUUUUAUAGACAACUUGUUGACUAUGAUUUGUCUUGUAGCUUACUCGUUUAUGUUAUUUUACCUACGCUUAGGAUGUUGAGUCAUCACACAUCUCU
rnacentral:rRNA from 1 species